rnacentral:lncRNA from 1 species
GACAUGCAUUUGGAAGAAAUUCUCCACCAGAUGAUUAUGUCAGUCUUUCGAAACAAGUAGUUUCUACUACUGGAGGACUUCCCUUGGCUCUCGAAGUCAUAGGCUCAUUACUUCGCCGCCAAAACAAAGGCUUAUGGAUAGGUGUACUGCACAACCUAAGGGAAAUAACUCAUGAGAAGGUCCAAGAAACGUUAAAGAUUUGCUACAAUGCCUUGAAUCAUGAGCAAAAACAGAUAUUUCUUGACAUUGCAUGUCUUUUUGUGGAUGAAGACAAGACAAAUGCAUUCUACAUGUGGAAAGAUUGUGGGUUCUUACCAGAUUAUUCAACUCAAGCCCUUGUCUGCAUGUCCUUGAUAAAGAUAACUGAUGACAACAAAUUCUGGAUGCAUGACCAAUUGAGAGAUCUCGGGAGGAAAAUCAUCUGUGAAGAUACAGGGCUGAUGGAUCCAAGAAAGCAGAGCAGGUUGUGGAUUCCUGAGACAGCCGUUAAAAUCAUUAGAACAGAAGAGGUGAGACCAUAUGUUUGACUGUCGAAUUCCAUGCUUCUCUUGAUGGUUCAUUUAUUAAUUGGGAGCCCUUUUUAAUAGGGAGAGAGAGGAUGAAGACUAUUUUCAUUUAUUCUUAUGCUACCUUACCAUUGAAUGACAGAGAAAGGAGACCAUUGAAGCAGUUUGCUUGGAUGGAAAUGCACAAGAAAUCUAUAAAAGCGAAGAGUUUUCAAGGGUUCCGAACAUAAGGUUCCUCAAAUUACGUGGGGGAUAUUUUGUUGGAGACUUUAAGAAGCAGCUUUCAAGGUUAAGAUACUUGUCCUGGAAUAGGUGUCCUCAUGAGCUCUUGGCCAUCAAUUUUCAUCCAAGAAAUCUUGUAGUUCUCAACUUGUCUUUUAGUGCCAUCACGGAGGACUGGGCUGGAUGGAGUCAAAUCAAGGUAUAUUAUGUUGCUAUUUGUUUAUCUAGAUCUCAAUUGGAUAUCUCUCAUAGAGUUUUUUUAUUUUAAUACACGUUGUAAAUAAAAUAAGUCGUGAAUGAAGCAGUCAAGCCCUUUCACAACUAACACUAAGCUGGUCUCAUAAUCAAGGCCAUUUUCGAUUAUUACAUAUUCUGGGGAAGAAGUUGAAUUGUGGAUAUGUGUGAAUCAAGUUGGAUAGGAGUUCAUACUAAAAUGAUUGGGUCUGGGAUUUAAAAGGAAAAAAAUGAGUCAACCCAACUACAACUCAGUUCCAACAUAACCAUUCAUUGCCUCUAAAUUUGCAUGGAAUUUCCCCAUUACUCUCUUUUGACUAUUGUAACAGGUUGCCAAGAAGCUGAAAGUUCUGGAUCUCACAAACUGCAACAACAUGACCAGGACUCCAAACUUUUCUGGUUAUUUGAGUUUAGAGAGAUUGAUCCUAAAAAAUUGCAGAAGACUCAUUGACGUUGAUGGUUCCCUCGAAAAGCUCAAGUGCCUAAUUUUCUUCAAUGUGGAUGGGUGUACGAAUCUUACAGAGUUGUCCGAAGGAAUCGGACAGUUAGAGAAACUUGAGUACUUGUAUUUAGGCAACUGCAGAAAGUUGAGGAAGCUACCUGAAUCAUUUGCAAGAGUGGCAUCACUGGUAGAGUUGGAUCUCUCAUAUACAGCCAUCACGAGAUUACCUGUCUCCAUUGGUAACCAAAAGCGCUUAUCCAUUCUUAAACUGCAAUCAACACAAAUCGAUGAACUUCCUAGUUCUAUUGGAAAUCUAAGGGAACUUAAGUCUCUCUUUCUAUCGGGUACUAAAAUAAAGGCACUUCCUAUCUCCAUUGGGAACUUGGAAUCGCUACUCGAGUUGGAUGUCUCGGGAACACGAUGUUUGCGGUUACCCGAAUCUAUUGGAGGCCUAAGUAGAUUGAAAGUCAUCAAUAUUUCAAAUUCUUGCAUAAGGGAGUUACCGAGGAGUAUUGUCAUGCUAAAAGACUUGGAAGAGCUACAUGGCAGGGAUUGCUCGUCUCUAAAGUGGGAAAUUCCUGAGGGCAUUUCCGAAUUAUUGCUUUUGAGAGUCCUUGACUUGCAAGCAACUCGUAUUAGAAAUGUUCCAGCGACGAUCCAACUACUUCCUCAGCUAGAGAAAUUGAAUUUAUGGCAAUGCAAGAAACUCGAAGUAUUGCCUACGCUUCCCACAAGCUUGAUAAGCCUAAGCUUUGGAUCCAGUUUGCUCCAAUAUGUCCCGGAUCUUUCAAACCUAACUGAAUUGGCAGAAUUGAGCUAUGGUGGUCAUGAUGAGAGCUGUCAUCCUUUUUUCUUCCAAGAUGGACCAUGCCGACAAUCUCUUGUGUUCCUUCCACCAUCUCUGUCAAUAUUGUCACUCGAAUAUCACAAAUUAAUAACCAGUCUGUCAUUUCAUUGCGACUUGAGAAACUUGACUCGUUUGCGUAUUUAUCAAUGUUGUUGGAAGGAAGUUCAACUCGAUGGGCUUGAACAGUUGAUUGAAUUCGAAGUGGAGGGGCUAAAACUCCUCGAGAGAUUUUCUGGCCUUUCGAGGUUGAAGAGGUUGAAACUGUGGAAGCUGAUUGGUUGCCCAAAUCUAACUGCGAUCCAAGGUCUUGGUUCCAUGGAGUCGUUGGAACAAUUGGAAAUAAAAGAAUGUCCUAAAAUUGAAAGUCUAGAUGACCUAUUGAAUUUGAAAAAGCUGGAGUACUUGGCAAUUCGAGGAUGCGAAGUGCUUCCAGUGGUUAAGGGACUGGAUGAACUAGAGACUCUCAAAAGAUUGGAUUUUAACCGUUGCAGGUCAUUGGAAAGUUUCACUAAUGUCUUCAACUCAAAAAUACGAGACAGGUGCCGCAUAACCAUUUUCAACUGCUCAAAGUUAGUAGAUCCUUCGUAUGGAGGCCUGGUCAGCUCGUACAAGCAAUGGAAAGCCCAAGAAGUGUCCAACAGGGUUCGUAAUCAGUCCAGCCAGAAUUAACUGAGAAAUCUUUCUGUGGACGUUUGAAGCAAAUAAGAUCUACCCAAGCGAAGAAAUGAUUGAUCCGAAGAUCGGUGAUACUUGGAUGUUUCUUACUAGUUAUCUCCUGGGAAGUGGUUUUCAGGAUAGACUCCAUAAUUUGCGAUCUGUCUUUAAUCAUGAGUGUUCAUCAUAAUUUGGUGUGUUGUCCUUUCCUUUGAGUUUGCACUAUGUGCAUUUUCGGUCGAUCAAACCAGGCAUUUGUUGACAUUUUCAUUCAUAGAUUGCUUGUCAUCCUAUUAUCAUUUUUGUGAAAAUUAUGUAAUGCUUUCAACAAUGUUUUCAGUUUUCACCGCCUAGAAAGGCAUGUACAAGUCUUUUAAAGGCUAAAAAUUCAAAUUUAAUUGAUGAGAAUCGAGCAACAUUUUAUUUAUAUCUUCACUAUUUUCUCAGAAAUAUCUUCAAUUGUGGUAUGUCAGCAAAAAUCAAGGACAAUAUCAGUUCUGUCGGUCAAUACCAUAUUUGAUGACUGCAGACAAUGGGAACAUCAUGAUCAAUCCUUUCCAAGAACUUCUCUAGGUGCAUCCUAAAUACUCACGCAUGGUUAUUUGCGAAAGCACAACUCAAUCAAACAUGAUAAAAAUCAAAUCGGCAAAAUCAAAGUCGAACCGAAAAAAUCAGACCAUCUAAAUUGAAGGACUCUAUAGAACAGAGUGGUCGUCAUGUUGCAAGGUCAGUGUCUCAAGCAAUAACAUUCAAGUCGGACUAGUAACUUCCUAAUUGAUCAAUGGUGAGAGUAAAUCAAUAUGGAGGUCAGUGAGGUAAAUCAUCGAACAGGUGACAUACAUUACAGUCGAGGGGCUUCGGCGCACAUUUAAAGAAAUGAUUCACUUUUAGAUCAUCAAAUCAACAACAAUUAAAGUUCAAAUUAUCAAAAACAACUUCAAUCGCAGUUCUCUAUAUAGCUCUCAGCCUCUGCUUCGCGUGAAGAGCAACGGAAACGGAGCAUAGACGAUAAUUACCUUGAAAUCGCUGACGUCCACCGCGGAGAGCGAUCGGAUCAAAGGGAGUCAUCAUCCAUGACGACGAGGCUGAAGAUCAGAGAUGACGACCGAUGAACGAAUAAUCUUCAAGCACUUCAGACUCCCUGGCCGAGAAACAGGGGCGAACAGAGGAAUUACCACCGUGGCCGAACCGGCGAUGGCGGAACGGCUACGGCGGAGGUUGCUGGCGGAUACGGAAUCACUGGAC